rnacentral:rRNA from 1 species
AGUGAACGCUGGCGGUAGGCCUAACACAUGCAAGUCGAACGGCAGCACAGUAAGAGCUUGCUCUUACGGGUGGCGAGUGGCGGACGGGUGAGGAAUACAUCGGAAUCUACUUUUUCGUGGGGGAUAACGUAGGGAAACUUACGCUAAUACCGCAUACGACCUACGGGUGAAAGCAGGGGAUCUUCGGACCUUGCGCGAUUGAAUGAGCCGAUGUCGGAUUAGCUAGUUGGCGGGGUAAAGGCCCACCAAGGCGACGAUCCGUAGCUGGUCUGAGAGGAUGGACAGCCACACUUGAACUUGAACCAGGUCCCAACUCCUACGGGAGGCCGCAGUGGGGAAUAUUGGGCAAUGGGCGCAAGCCUGGUCCAGCCAUACCGCGUGGGUGAAGCAGGCCUUCGGGUUGUAAAGCCCUUUUGUUGGGAAAGAAAAGCAGCAGGUUAAUACCCCGCUGUUCUGACGGUACCCAAAGAAUAAGCACCGGCUAACUUCGUG